rnacentral:rRNA from 1 species
CCCUUAGAUGUUCUGGUCUGCACGCGCGCUACACUGAAGCUAUCAACACGUUUUCCCUCCCUGAGAAGGGCGGGUAACCUUUUGAAUCAGCUUCGUGGUAGGGAUCGGGGCUUGCAAUUGUUCCCCGUGAACCAGGAAUUCCUAGUAGACGCGAGUCAUAAGCUCGCAUCGAUUAAGUCCCUGCCCUUUGUACACACCGCCCGUCGCUACUACCGAUUGAACGUUUUAGUGAGGCAUUUGGACCGACGCAUCUCAGUUUAACCGCUGGUUUGUGUUGGAAAGACUUCCAAACUUGAGCGUUUAGAGGAAGUAAAAGUCGUAACA